rnacentral:rRNA from 1 species
AGGAAUAUUGGUCAAUGGCCGGAAGGCUGAACCAGCCAAGCCGCGUGAGGGAGGAAGGCGCAGAGCGUCGCAGACCUCUUUUGCCGGGGGACAAAAGGCCGGACGUGUCCGGUCCUGAGGGUACCCGGAGAAAAAGCAUCGGCUAACUCCGUGCCAGCAGCCGCGGUAAUACGGAGGAUCCGAGCGUUAUCCGGAUUUAUUGGGUUUAAAGGGUGCGUAGGCGGUUUGAUAAGUUAGAGGUGAAAUGUCGGGGCUCAACCCCGAAACUGCCUCUAAUACUGUUGGACUAGAGAAUAGUUGCGGUAGGCGGAAUGUAUGGUGUAGCGGUGAAAUGCUUAGAGAUCAUACAGAACACCGAUUGCGAAGGCAGCUUACCAAACUAUAUCUGACGUUGAGGCACGAAAGCGUGGGUAGCAAACAGG